rnacentral:lncRNA from 1 species
UAUGAUUAUGGAAAUGGUAAAUGUAAAACCCAAAUUCUGCCCACGCCCAUGCAGAUCAAAUAAACAAAAAAGUAAUAAAUAAAAACCAAAUAAAAUAAAAUAAAAUAACAAUCCAAAAACAGUACAUUUACAUUGGCCCAAAACAAUAUAACCCUAAACCACCCAGACACAAACCCAAACCCACUAAGCCUAAUACUUGACAACCCAACCCUAAGCCCAAAAUCAACAUUUCCAGAAAACCCUAAAUCUAGCAGCUUCCAGUACUACUCCUCCGUCUACCCUCC